rnacentral:rRNA from 1 species
UUAAGCAUAUCAAUAAGCGGAGGAAAAGAAACUAACAAGGAUUCCCCUAGUAGCGGCGCAGCGAAGCGGGAAGAGCUCAAAUUUAUAAUCUGGCACCUUCGGUGUCCGAGUUGUAAUCUCUAGAAGUGUUUUCCGCGUUGGACCGCACACAAGUCUGUUGGAAUACAGCGGCAUAGUGGUGAAACCCCCGUAUAUGGUGCGGACGCCCAGCGCUUUGUGAUACACUUUCAAUGAGUCGAGUUGUUUGGGAAUGCAGCUCAAAUUGGGUGGUAAAUUCCAUCUAAAGCUAAAUAUUGGCGAGAGACCGAUAGCGAACAAGUACCGUGAGGGAAAGAUGAAAAGCACUUUGGAAAGAGAGUUAACAGUACGUGAAAUUGUUGGAAGGGAAACGCUUGAAGUCAGACUUGCUUGCCGGAGCUUGCUUCGGUUUGCAGGCCAGCAUCAGUUUUCCGGGGUGGAUAAUGACGGUUUGAAGGUAGCAGUCUCGGCUGUGUUAUAGCUUUCCGUUGGAUACGCCCUGGGGGACUGAGGAACGCAGCGUGCUUUUUGCGAAAGACUCGUCUUUUUCACGCUUAGGAUGCUGGUGGAAUGGCUUUAAACGACCCGUCUUGAAACACGGACCAAGGAGUCUAACAUGCUCGCGAGUAUUUGGGUGUCAAACCCGGAUGCGCAAUGAAAGUGAAUGUAGGUGGGAACCGCAAGGUGCACCAUCGACCGAUCUGGAUUUUUUAAGAUGGAUUUGAGUAAGAGCGCGUAUGUUGGGACCCGAAAGAUGGUGAACUAUGCCUGAAUAGGGCGAAGCCAGAGGAAACUCUGGUGGAGGCUCGUAGCGGUUCUGACGUGCAAAUCGAUCGUCAAAUUUGGGUAUAGGGGCGAAAGACUAAUCGAACCAUCUAGUAGCUGGUUCCUGCCGAAGUU